AGAAGAGGAAGAAAGGGGGAAACCCCUCUCAAACCCUAAUCAACGAAUCAGAUGGGAAUUGGGCUGAAUUCGAACUUGCAUGAGCCUAAAUAGUGAUUAUCUAAGCAAGCUUUAGCCAAGGUAUCGCAUGAGCAUGGAAGGCAAAUGGGUCAAGAUGAGGCAAGGAAGCGGUUACGAACACGGAUGCACAAGGUUGUGCGGACUUAGCAUCGUCAUGAAGAAUAGAAGGAUUGAGGAUCGAGUCAAGAGCAAGGAUUGUACGGAAGAACAGUCACGUAGUUUUAAUUAUGUAAUGUUUUAACAUGUGAAAGUAAAUGUAAAUAUUUCCUUUGGCAAAUGUCUAAUAUUUUGAAA